rnacentral:rRNA from 1 species
ACAUCCAGAGAAUUUAGCAGAGAUGCUUUAGUGCCUUCGGGAACUCUGAGACAGGUGCUGCAUGGCUGUCGUCAGCUCGUGUUGUGAAAUGUUGGGUUAAGUCCCGNAACGAGCGCAACCCUUAUCCUUUGUUGCCAGCACGUAAUGGUGGGAACUCAAAGGAGACUGCCGGUGAUAAACCGGAGGAAGGUGGGGAUGACGUCAAGUCAUCAUGGCCCUUACGAGUAGGGCUACGCACGUGCUACAAUGGCGCAUACAAAGAGAAGCGACCUCGCGAGAGCAAGCGGACCUCAUAAAGUGCGUCGUAGUCCGGAUUGGAGUCUGCAACUCGACUCCAUGAAGUCGGAAUCGCUAGUAAUCGUAAAUCAGAAUGUUACGGUGAAUACGUUCCCGGGCCUUGUACACACCGCCCGUCACACCAUGGGAGUGGGUUGCAAAAGAAGUAGAUAGCUUAACCUUCGGGAGGGCGUUUACCACUUUGUGAUUCAUGACUGGGGUGAAGUCGUAACAAGGUAAGCGUAGUGCU